rnacentral:rRNA from 1 species
AGAGUUUGAUCUUGGCUCAGAAUGAACGUUGGCGGCGUGGAUUAGGCAUGCAAGUCGUGCCCGAUCUGUAGCAAUACAGGGAGAGCGAGCUGUAAGGGAGAGUAAUACGUAGGUAUCUGCCCUCGGGUCUGGGAUAGCGGCGGGAAACUGCCGGUAAUACCAGAUAAUGUCUCCGGACCAAAGGUGUGAUUCCACCUGAGGAGGAGCCUACGGCCUAUUAGCUAGUUGGCAGGGUAACGGCCUACCAAGGCAAAGAUGGGUACGGGGUGUGAGAGCAUGCCCCCGCUCACUGGGACUGAGACACUGCCCAGACACCUACGGGUGGCUGCAGUCGAGAAUCUUCGGCAAUGGGCGCAAGCCUGACCGAGCGACGCCGCGUGCGGGAUGAAGGCCUUCGGGUUGUAAACCGCUGUCGUAGGGGAUGAAAUGCUAGUGGGUUAUCCCAUUAGCUUGACUGAACCUAACUAGGAAGGGCCGGCUAAUCUCGUGCCAGCAGCCCGCGGUAAUACGAGAGGCUCCAAACGUUAUUUCCGGAUUUACUGGGGC